rnacentral:rRNA from 1 species
UACGUAGGGUGCAAGCGUUGUCCGGAAUUAUUGGGCGUAAAGGGCUCGUAGGCGGUCCAUCGCGUCGGGAGUGAAAAGCUGGGGCUUAACCCCAGUCCUGCUUCCGAUACGGGUGGACUAGAGGUAGGCAGGGAGAACGGAAUUCCUGGUGUAGCGGUGAAAUGCGCAGAUAUCGUAAGGAAGACCAGUGGCGAAGGCGAGUCUCUGGACAGCAACUGACGCUGAGGCACGAAGGCCAGGGGAGCAAACAGG